rnacentral:tRNA from 1 species
GGUCCUGACUAGCUCAACUGGUAGAGCAUGGCAUUAACGUUGCCAGGGUUAGGGCUUCGAUUUCCGCUGGGACCA